AUUGAACGCUGGCGGCAGGCUUAACACAUGCAAGUCGAGCGGGGUGAUGGUGCUUGCACUAUCACUUAGCGGCGGACGGGUGAGUAAUGCUUAGGAAUCUGCCUAUUAGUGGGGGACAACAUCUCGAAAGGGAUGCUAAUACCGCAUACGUCCUACGGGAGAAAGCAGGGGAUCACUUGUGACCUUGCGUUAAUAGAUGAGCCUAAGUCGGAUUAGCUAGUUGGUGGGGUAAAGGCCUACCAAGGCGACGAUCUGUAGCGGGUCUGAGAGGAUGAGCCGCAACACUGGGACUGAGACACGGCCCAGACUCCUACGGGAGGCAGCAGUGGGGAAUAUUGGACAAUGGGGGGAACCCUGAUCCAGCCAUGCCGCGUGUGUGAAGAAGGCCUUAUGGUUGUAAAGCACUUUAAGCGAGGAGGAGGCUCUUUUGGUUAAUACCCAAGAUGAGUGGACGUUACUCGCAGAAUAAGCACCGGCUAACUCUGUGCCAGCCGCCGCCGUAA
rnacentral:rRNA from 1 species